UACGAAGGGGGCUAGCGUUGUUCGGAAUCACUGGGCGUAAAGGGCGCGUAGGCGGGCUAUCAAGUCCGGGGUGAAAUCCUCCAGCUCAACUGGAGAACGGCCUCGGAUACUGAUGGUCUCGAGGGGGAUAGGGGCACACGGAACUGUGGGUGGAGCGGUGAAAUGCGUUGAUAUCCAUAGGAACUCCGGUGGCGAAAGCGGUGUGCUGGAUCCCUUCUGACGCUGAGGCGCGAAAGCCAGGGGAGCGAACGGG
rnacentral:rRNA from 1 species